rnacentral:rRNA from 1 species
CAAGUCUCUUGGAAAGGAGCACCAGUGAGGGUCAAGGUCCCGUCUGGCAUCUGUCAUCCCUUGUAGACGGUCUGCCCAUUGAGAGUCGUGUUCUUCUGGAGUAGAGCGCCAAUUGGGUGGUACUCUUUGCCCAAGGAGGAUUACGUGCUUGAGACCAAUAGUGAACAAGUACCAUGAGGGAAGGGUGAAAAGGACUUUGGAAAGAGGGUUAAGAGGGCAUGAAGCUGCU